CAGCAGCCGCGGGAAUACGAAGGGUGCAAGCGUUAAUCGGAAUUACUGGGCGUAAAGCGUGCGUAGGCGGUGAGUUAAGUCUGCUGUGAAAUCCCCGGGCUCAACCUGGGAAUGGCAGUGGAUACUGGCUCGCUAGAGUGUGUCAGAGGAUGGUGGAAUUCCCGGUGUAGCGGUGAAAUGCGUAGAGAUCGGGAGGAACAUCAGUGGCGAAGGCGGCCAUCUGGGACAACACUGACGCUGAGGCACGAAAGCGUGGGGAGCAAACAGGAUUAGAUACCCGUGUAGUCCCUGUCUCUUAUAU
rnacentral:rRNA from 1 species